GGCCUAUUGAGUAUAAUUUUAGGUCGAUCUGCUCCAUGAAAUAAAUUUAAAUAGCUGCAGUAUAUUGACUGUACAGAGGUAGCAUAAUAAAUUGUCUUUUAAUUGAAGAAUUGAAUGAAUGAAUUGAUGAAAUAACAACUGUCUCUAUUUUAUUUAAUGAAUUUAAAUUUUUAGUAAAAAUUCUGAAAUUUAAUUAUGGGACGAUAAGACCCUAUAGAAUUUUAUUUAAUAUAAUUAUUUAUUUAAAUUAUUUGUGAAUAUAUAAUUAAUUUAAAUUUGAUUGGGAGGAUUGGUAAAUAAAAAUAACUUUAUCUAAAAAUUAAUUUUGAUGAAAAGAUUUUUUUUGACUUAUAAUUUAUGAUUAAAAGAAUAAAUUACCUUAGGGAUAACAGCGUAAUAUCUUUUGAUAGACCACAUUGAUAAAGAUGUUUGCGACCUCGAUGUUGAAUUAAGAGAAAAGUUAAACGCAGGAGUUUAAAAUUUUAAGUCUGUUCGACUUUUAAAAUCUU
rnacentral:rRNA from 1 species